rnacentral:lncRNA from 1 species
AGGUCCCGUGCACCCUGACCCAUUUUAACAAACGUACCCAUUGAAUACAGUGAAGCUGGGGAAGCCCAGCCCAGGAGCAUUGCCUCACUGGGUCAGUCCCACUGCUGGGCUAGGACACCUGUGGUCCCUUCUUCUCACCCUGGAGCUGUGUCUGUGUGAGGGGCUUGCCCCUAAGCCAGCCCACCUGGCACCAUGAGGCCCCUGCCUUAUACAACGGUAAGUUCUCCCAUAGCAGCUAAGCUAAUUCUGGCUACCUACUGAUUUGAAAAGGUUUUUAGAAAGAAAUUUGCAUUUUCCCAGAAACAUCAGCUCUACAUUAUCCAAAUAAACAACAAAGCUAGAACACAGGGGGCAAAGGAUUAUGAAAGGGACGGGUUUUAAACAAGGAUCAAGGAAUAGCAAAUAAUGACAUCGGCAAACACUUCUAUGAUUCUGCUAUGGUCUGAGUGUGUCUCCUGAAAAUUCAUGUUGAAAUCCUAACCCCCAAGAUGACGAUAUUAGCAGGUGUGGACUUUGGAGGUGACUAGGUCAUGAAAGUGGAGCCCUAUAAAUGGGAUUAGUGCCCUUCUAAAAGCAGGGUGGGAGCGGGUGUGGGGGACGUGGGGGAAAACUCCCUUGCCCGUUGCACCAUGUGGAGACACAGCCAGGAGGUACUGUCUGUGCAGAAGGGACCCUCAUCAGACCUGGAAUCUGCCAGUGGGCUUCCCAGCCUCCAGAACUGGGAGAAACAAAUUCCUGUUGCUUAUAAGCCACCCAGCCUAUGUUGUUUUGUUACAGCAGCCCGAGGGGACUAAGACGGGUACUGUGUCCUAGAUUAGCUCAUUUAAUAUUCACUAUGAUCUAUGAAGCAGGCACUACUCUUCAUCAUUCAUGAACGAUUAUUUCCCGCUGAGAAAACUGAGGCACAGAGCAGUCAGUCGCCUAACUCACGGCCCCUGUGAGAGGGUCGCCAAGAUUCUGGAAUCCGGGCAGUCUGGCUCCAGAGUCCGUGCUCUUAGUGUCCAGCUAUACACUUGAAGAAGUGAAAACUGCAGCUCUUUUCGGACAGUGAUCCCCUCGAAAAACAAACAAAAAACUGAAGCCCAGCGGCUGGAGCAAGGGGCCUGGAAAGGCGUUGAGCGAGGGCCGGGGCGCGAGGGCUCCGGGGCGGGCCGGCGGGGACUGCCUCUCCCGCUGGUCACCUGGGGUUGAACUGGAAUUGUUCAAUAGAGGCCUCGAGGCCCUCCAUGAUCUUCCGGCCCUCCUCUGUCUCAGGCGAGUCGCCCCAGUUCGCCAUUGCAGCCCCGGACGUGCGCCUCCCGCGGAGCCGCUCGCUCUCCUGAGUCGGAGUCGGGAACCCGGCGUCCGUUGCCAUGGCGACUCCCAGGCUUCCCCACAAGACUCCCACAGCCUGGAGGCUGCUGCGAUACCCCAGAGGAAAGCUGCACCCCCGUAAAUAACCCUUCAGCCUCCCGCCGUGCCCCUGGACCCUGCUCGCUUCCUCCUCUACCCAGGCGCGGAGCUCAGCCUACCUCGUGGACCCGCGCAUUUGCGGGGGCUUGAAUUCCCGAGCUUCUCGCUUCCUACGCGCGCAGCAGACCCGCAGCUCGGUGGCCUUGGCUUUCAUGGCCUCCCAGCGUGUGCCAAAGGUCCCCCUCAAGGAGGAGGAAAAGCAGUGAACCCAUCUAAUAACUAUGCUCAUGACAUAAUGAGCCCUGCGAUCCCGGACCAAGGCCAUCAUAAGAGGAGAGCAGGCUGCCUAAUAAGCUGUCUCCACCUGCCACAAACGUAGGCGUUCCUGGACAAAAUAUUUCCUUGCAGAGAUUAAACAGAUUUCUAUUUAAUGAGGUCAGAAUGUGAGGCGUUAAGUCUUAAACUAUACCAUCUAGUGUGGAAUUCAAUUUUACCAGGUUUCUACAAUAAUAAGAGUUAAUAGUGAAACUGUUGUCAUCCUUAGUUUUAAAUUAUGUAUCACUCAUUGUCAACUAAUAGGAGACACCUAUUCUAAUAUCAGUAUGUCAUUGUUUUUCUGUAAACGACUGGCUAAAUUUAUUUUUAAAAUGUCAUUGUCUGGUUUAGAACUGUCUAUACUACAUCUGCAUUUCAAUAUAUUAUCUACAGAAAAAUAAGUUUUUUCUCCUCUCU